rnacentral:rRNA from 1 species
GAGUUUGAUCAUGGCUCAGGACGAACGCUGGCGGCGUGCCUAAUACAUGCAAGUCGAACGCAGCUUGCUUUGGUAAGAUGAGUGGCGAACGGGUGAGUAACACGUGGGUAACCUGCCUAUCAGAGGGGGAUAACACUUGGAAACAGGUGCUAAUACCGCAUAGAUUUCUUUCGCAUGAAAAGAGAGGAAAGACGUACGUGUCACUGAUAGAUGGACCCGCGGUGCAUUAGCUAGUUGGUGAGGUAACGGCUCACCAAGGCCAUGAUGCAUAGCCGACCUGAGAGGGUGAUCGGCCACACUGGGACUGAGACACGGCCCAGACUCCUACGGGAGGCAGCAGUAGGGAAUCUUCGGCAAUGGACGAAAGUCUGACCGAGCAACGCCGCGUGAGUGAAGAAGGUUUUCGGAUCGUAAAACUCUGUUGUUAGAGAAGAAUAGGUAGGAGUGACUUCCUGCCAUGACGGUAUCUAACCAGAAAGCCACGGCUAACUACGUGCCAGCAGCCGCGGUAAUACGUAGGUGGCAAGCGUUGUCCGGAUUUAUUGGGCGUAAAGCGAGCGCAGGCGGUUUCUUAAGUCUGAUGUGAAAGCCCCCGGCUUACCCGGGAGGGUCAUUGGAAACUGGGAGACUUG